rnacentral:lncRNA from 1 species
GGGCCAGGAUAUUGUAGUAAAGCAUUUCAAAAAUUUUUAAAUCCAUGGAAAAUUGCACAUACAACAGGAAUCCCUUAUAAUUCCCAAGGACAGGCCAUAGUUGAAAGAACUAAUAGAACACUCAAAGCUCAAUUGGUUAAACAAAAAAAGGAAAAAGACAGUAAACAGUAUAACACUCCUCAGAUGCAACUUAAUAUAGCACUCUGUACUUUAAAUUUUUUAAAUAUAUAUAGAAAUCAAACCACUACUCCUGCAGAAUAACAUUUUACCGGUAAAAAGAACAGCCCACAUGAGGAAAAACUGAUUUGGUGGGAAAAUAACAAAAAUAAAACAUGGGAAAUAGGUAGAGUGAUAACAUGGGGGAGAGGUUUUACUUGUGUUUCACCAGGAGAAAAUCAGCUUCCUGUUUGGGUACCCACUAGACAUUUGAAGUUCUACAAUGAACCCAUCAGAGAUACAAAGGAAGGCGCCUCUGCAGAGACAAAAAACCCACAAUCGAACAUCAUCGACUCGCAGGAUGAAUAAAAUGUCUACAGGUGUAUCCAGCAGCUACGGAGAAACAGCGACCAGCGAGAACGGGCCAUGAUGACGAUGGCGGUGUUGUCAAAAAGAAAAGGGGGAAAUGUAGAGAAAAGAAAGAGGGAUCAGACUGUCACUGUGUCUAUGCAGAAAGGAAAGACAUAAGAGACUCCAUUUUGAAAAAGACCUGUACUUUAAACAGUUGCUUUGCUGAGAUGUUGUUGAUUUGUAGCUUUGCCCCAGCCACUUUGACCCAGGCACUUUGGCCCAACUUGGAGCUCACAAAAACAUGUGUUGUAUAAAAUCAAGGUUUAAGGGACCUAGGGCUGGGUAGGACGUGCCUUGUUAACAAAAUACUUACAAGCAGUAUACUUGGUAAAGGUCAUUGCCAUUCUCUAGUCUCAAUAAACCAGGGGCACAAUGCACUGUGGAAAGCUGCAGGGACCUCUGCCCUUGAAAGCAGUGUAUUGUCUAAAGUUCCUCCCCAUGUGAUAGUCUGAAAUAUGGCCUUGUGGGAUGAGAAAGACCUGACUGUCCCCCAGCCCGACACCCGUAAAGGGUCUGUGCUGAGGUGGAUUAGUAAAAGAGGAAAGCCUCUUGCAGGUGAGAUGGAGGAAGGUCACUAUCUCCUUCUUGCCCCUGGGAACUGAAUGUCUCGGUGUAAAACCCGACUGUACAUUUGUUCAACUCUGAGAUAGGAGAAAAGUUGCCCUGUGGCGGCAGGUGAGACAUGUUUACAGUAAUACUGCCUUGUUACUCUUUACUCCACUGAGAUGUUUGGUUGGAGAGAAAGAUAAAUCUGGCCUACGUGCACAUCCAGGCAUAGUACUUUCCCUUGAACUUAAUCAUGAUAUAGAUUCUUUUGCUCACAUGUAAUUUGCUGACAUUCUCCUUAUUAUCACCCUGCUCUCCUACUACAUUCCUUUUUGCUGAAAUAAUGAAAAAUAAUAAUCAAUAAAAACUGAGGGAACUCAGAGGCCGGUGCCGGUGCAGGUCCUUGGUGUGCUGAGCGCCGGUCCCAUGGGC